GAUCCUGGCUCAGGAUGAACGCUGGCGGCGUGCUUAACACAUGCAAGUCGAACGGAGUUUUAACGGAAGUUUCGGAUGGAAGUUUAGAAACUUAGUGGCGGACGGGUGAGUAACGCGUGGGUAACCUGCCUCAUACAGGGGGAUAACAGUUAGAAAUGACUGCUAACACCGCAUAAUAUAGCGAAACCGCAUGAUUUUGCUAUCAAAUAUUUAUAGGUAUGAGAUGGGCCCGCGUCUGAUUAGCUAGUUGGUGGGGUAAAAGCCUACCAAGGCGACGAUCAGUAGCCGGCUUGAGAGAGUGACCGGCCACAUUGGGACUGAGACACGGCCCAAACUCCUACGGGAGGCAGCAGUGGGGAAUAUUGGACAAUGGGGGAAACCCUGAUCCAGCGAACCGCCGCGUGAGUGAAGAAGUAUUUCGGUAUGUAAAGCUCUAUCAGCAGGGAAGAUAAUGACAGUACCUGACUAAGAAGCCCCGGCUAACUACGUGCCAGCAGCCGC
rnacentral:rRNA from 1 species